AUGACCGGCGCCAAGCCCCUCGUCCUUGCCCUCCCCUCCCCAUCCUCCGGCUCCACGGAGGCCGCGGACGUGGCCGCAGUCCCGGACCUCUUAUACGUGGCGGAGAAGGCGAGGGCGAGGACGCACGAUGUGCCCAGGGAAGACGAGGAGGCAAAACUGAGUCUCAUGGCAAGGGUGGGCAAGGUCCUGUUCCAACGCUUUUGUGUUGGUGGAUCGCCCGUCUCCCUGGACGUCGUCCGCGACCUCGCAGAGGCAGGGACAAAAGGGUCCAAGAGCCCAGUGGUCGACAAGCAGGGAAUGGUUUCCAAGAUGUCUUGCAAAUGCAUUGUGCAAGAAGAUGGGAAGCUUGCAAUCGACAAGAAUCACACAGGGGAGGAAGUACAAGAAGCUUUUCUGGAUCUCGACGAUUUCACCUCUGGUCUCAAUUAUCUUGUCUGCGGCCAUGGUCUAUGCCACGAAGGGGACAAGCACGGCGUGAAGAUCAUCCACGAGGAAGCCAUUGUUGUUGGACAAUCUUUCGCCACGGUUAGAUGGAUCAUGGAAUGGGUAAGGGCUGAAGUGGAUACAUCCAAUGAGAAGGUCAGGGAAAGGGUGCAAUCAGUUGUCUUUGACAUGUCAAACGUGGUGAACAUUGACACUUCAGGACUCGUGGGAUUGGAAGAAAUUCACAAGGAUCUAGCAUCCCUGGGCAUACAGUUUCACAGGAACAAGUCAGUGGCAGUAAAAGUUGAAGCUCCUUAUCACCUGAACGAACAUCCUGCGCGUGUUGUACGUGGCCGGUACGGCGGCCCUGACGGGGAGCGAGAACCGCCACUGGAACGCGGCGGUGAGCCCCUCGGUGAAGACCUGCGCGGAGAGCAGGAACGUGUGCGGGGCCGCGGCGGCGAUCCCCGUGGUGUCCCCGGACCGGAGGCCGUCGAGGAUGUAGAGCGCCGGGAGCGCGGCGCCGACGAGGAACCCGCCCACGAUGUGCGCGGCGAGGAGGAGGCGCUCGGGGCCGAGGAAGAUGGGCUCAGACGGGUUGGGCUUCCCGGGGCGCUGCAGGAAGUCUGCAAUUUUGGUUUUGUAGCAGCUGCGGUAGAACAGGAUUUUAUCCCAUAUCCAGAGAAGGUUCUUGAAAUGAGGAAAGGCUUUAUUGUGCUCGGCAAGGAUGAUGAUUUUUGUGCAUGA
rnacentral:rRNA from 1 species